rnacentral:rRNA from 1 species
CACCUACGGGGCGCAGCAGUGAGGAAUAUUGGUCAAUGGCCGAGAGGCUGAACCAGCCAAGUCGCGUGAGGGAUGACGGCCCUACGGGUUGUAAACCUCUUUUGUCGGGGAGCAAGACCCGCCACGAGUGGCGGAGCGAGAGUACCCGAAGAAAAAGCAUCGGCUAACUCCGUGCCAGCAGCCGCGGUAAUACGGAGGAUGCGAGCGUUAUCCGGAUUUAUUGGGUUUAAAGGGUGCGCAGGCGGACCAUCAAGUCAGCGGUAAAAGCCCGGGGCUCAACCCCGGCGAGCCGUUGAAACUGUCGG